UCAAAAACCGCUUGUACACAGGGCUCGAAAGUGGACAUCCGAUCAGUCUGGAUGGACAUGGAUGGCAUGUCGUCUCCUAGCCAGCUACGGAAACUGAUGUUUUCGCUGGGUCGGGGACAUACAAGCAGAAGUUUCGCCACCACAUUCAGAGACAUGUGAACUCGACUCCAUCGAUGCUACACAAGUGACGUCUGUGUCACAACUUGAAGAAGAAAUUGGACUGGGUGAAGCUCACACUCCGCAGCCGCCAAAAUCCGAAGAAAGUGUGAUGCCACAAAUGCGAAUUCCAGCGUCAGUUACUGAAGAAUCUGCUGAUUUUGCGCCUGGGUCAACAGCAGCUGAGUGACACUUUGUCAAGACUGCCAUCCAAUCCAGCUGCUCCCGAUGCUUCACUCGUGCCAGUAGAACCAUUUGAGACAGCAGAGGAACUGGAGACUUUUGAGAGGAAACUCACGAAGGACACUCAAAAGCAGUUUGUCAGUGAAAUGUUUAGUUUGUGCUUCUUAUAGGUAUACGAAAGUGCAAUUUAUGGGUCAAUAUAUCUGGUCUACAUUACUCGAAGAAAGGUAAGAAACUCCUUCCAUUACCGAAGCAAGCAUAAACAGAAGCGAUCCAGUCUGUAUACGGAUCAACUACAUGUAUAAUGAUUCCCAGGAACAGGGAAUCAUUAUAGUUUAUCUGCAUCCAGAUUGGAUCUCGGAAAUCGAACAGGCAUAUUUUGGAUGCUGUCAUUCGUUUGCAGUACCAGAUUUUCCGUUUCGUUUCCAGUAAUGGAACACCUGUCAUGAAGCUAUAUCUGAACAAUCUGAACAACUCGGAGGGUCACAGCACUCAUGUUGUUGCCGUUAGCAUUACUGCUAGUAGUCCCUGCCCAAAAAUCUGUACCCUCUUUUCAACCACAUUUCUUUGAGGAUGAAGGCGCAUGGCAGCAACAUGGUACAAAAUGCUGUGCAGGUAGCUUUAGAGCAUUUCCGGUACUUCUUUGAGCACCCAUGUGUAUGAACAGAUUGCAUACAUCAAGCAAUAAUUGAACCUCUGUAUGCAAUAAGGAGAUAAGUCGUAAAAUCCCAAAUUGAGAAAAGGGGCCUAAUCUGAUGGCCGAUCCCAUUGACACGCAUACCUUUCCCAUUUCUUAACCUCGGGUAGCGGGUCAAUAAAUUGCAAUACCGUCCUAAAUUUUUUUUGGCAGAUACAUACUGGUAUGUAGAUGUCAUUGCAGCAAAAAUAUUAAACGGAAUAAGUUAACUUAUUCCCUUCUUGCAUACAGAGGUUCAGUUGUAACAAGCCUACCAUAUUUUAUAGUUUUUUCACAUCGCAAAUAAGGGCUUAUAAGUAAAUACAUUUUCUGCAGGUACAAGAGCUCGCUGUUCUUGGCAGGAAUACACUUAAAACGUUUAUCAAAACGAAUCCUUACCCAUAUCAUGACGGACAAGUUAGCAACAGUUUACAGCUGGGAGGGCCACAAGGGGAAGUUCAAGUUCGUUGAACUGAGGCUUACUGACUCCAUCCUUGGCUGCUGUGCGCUCCCAAGCAAGAUUCACCGCUACUACGAACAUCGACAUCGAAAAAGAGAUCAAAGAGGGCUCCGGCGUGCAAGCGAAUGAGAGACAAAGACAAAUAAGUAACACAGAGGGGCCCUGCAGUGCCCGCGUGUUCCACUUUAUGCGAAGACCUCGCAAGAGUAGAAGCACAGCCCAGGAAGGCUUUUAUACGUAUAUAACAGACUGUGAUACACCACUGUGACAUAUGUACAUAUAUA